GCCGUCGAGCCGUUGAAACUGGCGUUCUUGAGUGGGCGAGAAGUAUGCGGAAUGCGUGGUGUAGCGGUGAAAUGCAUAGAUAUCACGCAGAACUCCGAUUGCGAAGGCAGCAUACCGGCGCCCUACUGACGCUGAGGCACGAAAGCGUGGGUAUCGAACAGGAUUAGAUACCCUGGUAGUCCACGCAGUAAACGAUGAAUGCUAACUGUCCGGUGCGAGUGAGCGCUGGGCGGUACAGCGAAAGCGUUAAGCAUUCCACCUGGGGAGUACGCCGGCAACGGUGAAACUCAAAGGAAUUGACGGGGGCCCGCACAAGCGGAGGAACAUGUGGUUUAAUUCGAUGAUACGCGAGGAACCUUACCCGGGCUCAAACGCAGGCUGACGGGUCCCGAAAGGGGCCUUUCUUCGGACAUUCUGCGAGGUGCUGCAUGGUUGUCGUCAGCUCGUGCCGUGAGGUGUCGGCUUAAGUGCCAUAACGAGCGCAACCCCUGUCCACAGUUGCCAGCAGGUAAAGCUGGGGACUCUGUGGAGACUGCCGGCGCAAGCUGCGAGGAAGGCGGGGAUGACGUCAAAUCAGCACGGCCCUUACGUCCGGGGCGACACACGUGUUACAAUGGCAGGUACAGCGGGAUGCCACGGGGCGACCCGGCGCUGAACCCGAAAACCUGUCUCAGUUCGGAUUGGAGUCUGCAACCCGACUCCAUGAAGCUGGAUUCGCUAGUAAUCGCGCAUCAGCCACGGCGCGGUGAAUACGUUCCCGGGCCUUGUACACACCGCCCGUCAAGCCAUGGAAGCCGGGGGUACCUGAAGUGCGUGACCGCGAGGAGCGCCCUAGGGUAAAACCGGUGACUGGGGCUAAGUCGUAACAAGGUAACCGUAA
rnacentral:rRNA from 1 species